rnacentral:rRNA from 1 species
AACGAACGCUGGCGGCAGGCUUAACACAUGCAAGUCGAGCGCCCCGCAAGGGGAGCGGCAGACGGGUGAGUAACGCGUGGGAAUCUACCCAUCUCUACGGAAUAACGCAUGGAAACGUGUGCUAAUACCGUAUACGUCCUUCGGGAGAAAGAUUUAUCGGAGAUGGAUGAGCCCGCGUUGGAUUAGCUAGUUGGUGGGGUAAAGGCCUACCAAGGCGACGAUCCAUAGCUGGUCUGAGAGGAUGAUCAGCCACACUGGGACUGAGACACGGCCCAGACUCCUACGGGAGGCAGCAGUGGGGAAUAUUGGACUAUGGGCGCAAGCCUGAUCCAGCCAUGCCGCGUGAGUGAUGAAGGCCCUAGGGUUGUAAAGCUCUUUCACCGGUGAAGAUAAUGGCGGUAACCGGAGAAGAAGCCCCGGCUAACUUCGUGCCAGCCGCCGCCGUAAUAC